AACGAACGCUGGCGGCAGGCCUAACACAUGCAAGUCGAACGCAUCGCAAGAUGAGUGGCGCACGGGUGAGUAACACGAGGGAAUGUGCCCUGUGGGUCGGAAUAACGUCUGGAAACGGACGCUAAUACCGGAAGUCCCCUGCGGGGGAAAGAUUUAUCGCCAAAGGAGCAGCCCGCGUCUGAUUAGGUAGUUGGUGGGGUAAAGGCCUACCAAGCCGACGAUCAGUAGCUGGUCUGAGAGGAUGAUCAGCCACACUAGGACUGAGACACGGCCCAGACUCCUACGGGAGGCAGCAGUGGGGAAUAUUGGACAAUGGGCGCAAGCCUGAUCCAGCCAUGCCGCGUGAGUGAUGAAGGCCUUCGGGUUGUAAAGCUCUUUCGCACACGACGAUGAUGACGGUAGUGUGAGAAGAAGCCCCGGCUAACUUCGUGCCAGCAGCCGCAGUAACAC
rnacentral:rRNA from 1 species